GAUGAACGCGGCGGCGUGCCUAACACAUGCAAGUCGAGCGAGAAGUAAAGAAAUGAAGCUUCGGUAGAUUUUCAUUAUGGAAAGCGGCGGACGGGUGAGUAACGCGUAGGCAACCUGCCCUGUACAGGGGGAUAGCCACCCGAAAAGGUGAUUAAUACCCCAUGAUGCAAGAGAUACACAUGUAUCACUUGUCAAAGAUUUAUCGGUAUGGGAUGGGCCUGCGUCUGAUUAGCUAGUUGGUAGGGUAACGGCUUACCAAGGCAACGAUCAGUAGCCGACCUGAGAGGGUGAUCGGCCACAUUGGAACUGAGACACGGUCCAAACUCCUACGGGAGGCAGCAGUGGGGAAUAUUGCACAAUGGGGGAAACCCUGAUGCAGCAACGCCGCGUGAAGGAAGAAGGCCUUCGGGUUGUAAACUUCUGUCCUAGGGGAAGAAACAAAUGACAUACCCUG
rnacentral:rRNA from 1 species